CCACACACACGCGCUCGCGCGUGCGUUUAAGUUUCAGAACAAACGGAUUCAGACUUUCAGUGGGUGCAGAUCAACAGUUGCGCAACUUUCUUGCAGACAUGUCAACCAUUGCCGUUUUCCUUUCCCUUCCGAUCUUCGCAAGCUUUUGCAGACGAGCUCAAAGUGAGGCCUGGAGAAGAUUCCAUUCUUCAGUGUCAGGGUCCUGGAGGUGAUGUCAUCAUCCUGUUCGAGUGGAGAAGAUCUGAUCUCAAGUCAGACACCUAUGUGUUCUUCUUCUGAAACCAGCGUCCAUAUGAAAACUACCAGCAUGAGUUCUUCAAAGGCCGAGUGGAGCUGAGAGAUCCAUCCAUGAAGGACGGAGACGUUUCAGUGAUUCUGAAGAAUGUCAGCACCAGCGAUACAGGAACAUACGAGUGUGAGAUUACAGCCAGGAACAAAGAAGGUGUCACAACUGAGACUAAGCA